AUAACUUCUCAGCCUUUUGGCUGAGAUCAAGUGUAGUAUUUUUUCUAGUAUAAUUAGGAAAGCAUCUUUACUUUUCAUAGACUAGCUUAA
rnacentral:snRNA from 1 species